rnacentral:rRNA from 1 species
AACAAACGCUGGCGGCGUGCCUAACACAUGCAAGUCGUACGAGAAAGUCGGCUUCGGCCGAUGAGUACAGUGGCGCACGGGUGAGUAGCGCGUGGGUAAUCUGCCCCCCGGUCAGGAAUAACCCGCCGAAAGGCGGGCUAAUACCCGAUAACACUGACGCUCCGCGGAGCGUCUUUCAAAGGAGGCCUCUGUUUACAAGCUUUCGCCGGAGGAUGAGCCCGCGUACCAUUAGCUAGUUGGCAGGGUAAUGGCCUACCAAGGCUGCGAUGGUUAGCUGGUCUGAGAGGAUGGCCAGCCACACUGGAACUGAGACACGGUCCAGACUCCUACGGGAGGCAGCAGUGAGGAAUCUUGCGCAAUGGGGGAAACCCUGACGCAGCAACGCCGCGUGAGUGAGGAAGGCCUUCGGGUCGUAAAGCUCUUUCAGACGGAAGAAAACGACAUCGGUGAAUACCCGGUGUGGAUGACGGUACCGUAAGAAGAAGCACCGGCUAACUACGUGCCAGC